rnacentral:tRNA from 1 species
AUUCUAAUCUGUCGCCGUAACCACUUGGCUAUAGCGCC